rnacentral:rRNA from 1 species
CCCCUAGAUGUUCUGGGCCGCACGCGCGCUACACUGAACAGUUCAACAAGUCUUAACCUUGGCCGAUAGGUCCGGGCAAUCUUUGAACGCUGGUCGUGAUGGGGAUAGACUUUUGCAAUUUUUGGUCUUCAACGAGGAAUUCCUAGUAAACGCAAGUCAUCAACUUGCAUUGAUUACGUCCCUGCCCUUUGUACACACCGCCCGUCGCACCUACCGAUUGAAUGGUCCGGUGAAGCCUCCGGAUUGGCGCGCACCUCGGUGCCGCCGAGAAGUUGGCUAAACCUUACCAUUUAGAGGAAGGUGAAGUCGUAACA